UUGCUGGGGCCAGGGCCAGGUUCGCAGGGGCCGGACCGGGACCCCUGCUAAAAGGGAGUCCCUUUGAGAGAUGUUAUAUGAAAUAAACACUUAGGAUAGAAUCAAUUGUUAAGGAUCAAUUGUUUUUAGAAUUUAGAAAAGAAACUGGAAAACAUAAAAAAGAAGUUAUAAAUUUCUUUUUUAUGUUUUUUAUGUUAAAAAUCAUGUGAUUCUUCUAAAAUACCGGAGAACCAAUUUGAUUUCUCCUAAAUUCAAUUUCCAUCCAAGUUUGUAUCAUGAGGGCGUCCUAAGUCAAUAAAGAAAAAAAAUGCUGUUGGUGUGCGUAAAGUUCAGAAGAUCUGCUUGACCAGAUGACUGUUAAAGAAAAAGUUCAUAGCCUCGCAAUUAAGAAGAAAGAUGGCGGCUGAUUUAUCACUACUACUGUUC